UACGUAGGGUGCAAGCGUUGUUCGGAAUCAUUGGGCGUAAAGCGCGUGUAGGCGGCCUACUAAGUCUGAUGUGAAAGCCCGGGGCUCAACCCGGAAGUGCAUUGGAUACUGGUUGGCUAGAGGGCGAGAGAGGGAAGUGGAAUUCCUGGUGUAGGGGUGAAAUCCGUAGAUAUCAGGAGGAACAUCGGUGGCGAAGGCGGCUUCCUGGCUCGUUUCUGACGCUCAGACGCGAAAGCGUGGGUAGCAAACAGG
rnacentral:rRNA from 1 species